rnacentral:rRNA from 1 species
AUUGAACGCUGGCGGCAGGCCUAACACAUGCAAGUCGAACGGUAACAGGAAGAAGCUUGCUUCUUUGCUGACGAGUGGCGGACGGGUGAGUAAUGUCUGGGAAACUGCCUGAUGGAGGGGGAUAACUACUGGAAACGGUAGCUAAUACCGCAUAACGUCGCAAGACCAAAGAGGGGGACCUUCGGGCCUCUUGCCAUCGGAUGUGCCCAGGUGGGAUUAGCUAGUAGGUGGGGUAACGGCUCACCUAGGCGACGAUCCCUAGCUGGUCUGAGAGGAUGACCAGCCACACUGGAACUGAAACACGGUCCAGACUCCUACGGGAGGCAGCAGUGGGGAAUAUUGCACAAUGGGCGCAAGCCUGAUGCAACCAUGCCGCGUGUAUGAAGAAGGCCUUCGGGUUGUAAAGUACUUUCAGCGGGGAGGAAGGGAGUAAAGUUAAUACCUUUGCUCAUUGACGUUACCCGCAGAAGAAGCACCGGCUAACUCCGUG